rnacentral:rRNA from 1 species
CAGCCGCCGCGGUAAAACGUAGGGUGCAAGCGUUAAUCGGAAUUACUGGGCGUAAAGCGUGCGCAGGCGGUUUGUUAAGACAGAUGUGAAAUCCCCGGGCUCAACCUGGGAACUGCAUUUGUGACUGGCAAGCUAGAGUGUGGCAGAGGGGGGUGGAAUUCCGCGUGUAGCAGUGAAAUGCGUAGAGAUGUGGAGGAAUACCGAUGGCGAAGGCAGCCCCCUGGGCCAAUACUGACGCUCAUGCACGAAAGCGUGGUGAGCAAACAGGAUUAGAUACCCCCGUAGUCCCUGUCUCUUAUAC